rnacentral:lncRNA from 1 species
CGGGAGCUGUUGGGGGCUCCUUCCCUCGCAGCAGUGACCACUCCAAGGGCCACGGCCUGGACAUGAGCGGCAGCGGUGAGCUGGGAGCUGCUGGCCUGGAGUCUAGAUGAAUAUAGGCAGCAGCCAAAGGCCACAGUCACGACAAACCUACACACUCUCACCACUGUCAUCUCAUAUUGUCCUAAAAUUUCCAGCCAGUGCAAAAAAACAUGAAAAAGAAAAAAUACAGCCACUGGAAAAGAGGAAAAGUAAUUGUUAUUAGCUGAUGAUGUGAAUGUCUUCCUGAAAACCUUAAGAGAACCAACUGGAAAACAACCAGAAAUGAGAGCAUUGAGUUAGGCAACCGCCGAUCUGCUUUCUGUCACUUUGGGCGAGUUUUGCCUGUCCUGGGAUUUCAUAUCCCUGGAAUCCUGCAGUACGUAGCCCUCUGUCUGGCUUCCUUGCUCCGUGUAAUGUUCCUGAGAUUCAUCCAUGCAGCUGUGUAUACCUGCAGUGAUUGUUUCUCUUAUUGAUUGCUGAGAAGGGUUCCAUCGUAUGCCUUUUCCAGUUUAUUUGUUCAUCUGUUGUUAGACAUUUGAGUUAUUUCCAGCUUGGGACUCUUAUGAACAAAACUGCUAUAAACAUGCAUAUUCAA